rnacentral:rRNA from 1 species
AUUGAACGCUGGCGGCAUGCCUUACACAUGCAAGUCGAACGGCAGCACGGAGCUUGCUCUGGUGGCGAGUGGCGAACGGGUGAGUAAUAUAUCGGAACGUACCCUGGAGUGGGGGAUAACGUAGCGAAAGUUACGCUAAUACCGCAUACGAUCUAAGGAUGAAAGUGGGGGCUCGCAAGACCUCAUGCUCCUGGAGCGGCCGAUAUCUGAUUAGCUAGUUGGUGGGGUAAAGGCCCACCAAGGCAUCGAUCAGUAGCUGGUCUGAGUGGACGACCAGCCACACUGGAACUGAGACACGGUCCAGACUCCUACGGGAGGCAGCAGUGGGGAAUUUUGGACAAUGGGGGCAACCCUGAUCUAGCAAUGCCGCGUGAGUGAAGAAGGCCUUCGGGUUGUAAAGCUCUUUUGUCAGGGAAGAAAAGGCUGCAGCUAAUAUCUGCGGCUCAUGACGGUACCUGAAGAAUAAGCACCGGCUAACUACGUGCCAGCCGCCGCCGUAA